rnacentral:rRNA from 1 species
UAGGGAAUCUUCCACAAUGGACGGAAAGUCUGAUGGAGCAACGCCGCGUGAGUGAAGAAGGGUUUCGGCUCGUAAAACUCUGUUGUUAAAGAAGAACAUAUCUGAGAGUAACUGUUCAGGUAUUGACGGUAUUUAACCAGAAAGCCACGGCUAACUACGUGCUAG